rnacentral:rRNA from 1 species
GAGUUUGAUCCUGGCUCAGGAUGAACGCUAGCGGCAGGCCUAAUACAUGCAAGUCGAACGGUUGGUAGCAAUACCAAUAGUGGCGCACGGGUGCGUAACGCGUAACCAACCUACCCGAAUCUGGGGGAUAGCCCGCCGAAAGGCGGAUUAAUACCGCAUAAAACUGCAGCCUGGCAUCAGGUAACAGUUAAAGAUUUAUUGGAUUCGGAUGGGGUUGCGUGCCAUUAGCUAGUUGGCGGGGUAACGGCCCACCAAGGCGACGAUGGCUAGGGGAGCUGAGAGGCUGGUCCCCCACACGGGCACUGAGAUACGGGCCCGACUCCUACGGGAGGCAGCAGUAGGGAAUAUUGGGCAAUGGGCGAGAGCCUGACCCAGCCAUGCCGCGUGCAGGAUGAAGGCUUUCUGAGUCGUAAACUGCUUUUACCAGGGAAGAAAAAAGGGGAUGCGUCUUCUACUGACGGUACCUGGUGAAUAAGCACCGGCUAACUCCGUGCCAGCAGCCCGCGGUAAUACGGAAGGGUUGCAAGCGUUGUCCGGAUUUAUUGGGUUUAAAGGGUGCGUAAGCGGCUGAUUAAGUCUGGGGUGAAGAACCCGUUGCUCAACAAACGGAACUGGCCUGGAAACUGGGUUAGCUUUGAAGUACA